rnacentral:misc_RNA from 1 species
CCGGCCCUUGAACUCUUCUGCGAACAAAUCGACGAUGGUCUUUCCCGCCCAACGAUUUUUAACAUAAGAAAUGAACUCGAAGUAGUAAGGUCUCACGUGCCGCCUCCCGUUGAGAAAGAUGUAAUCGUCUUUGUCCGGUGGGUUGGCUGGUGUUUGCCACACUAUCUCCAUCUCCUUUUCGUUUUCUUCUUCCCCGCCAGAAGUAGGUA